rnacentral:misc_RNA from 1 species
AUACAUAUAUAUAUAUAUAUAUGUCGGAGAUGAAAGAACGCCGGAGCUCCUCCUUGGAUUCGCGGGAACACCGCAACUCUGUAACUUAGAUUAAACAAAUGCCGCUCCGAUUGUUCGAGAUUUAUGAUCAUGAGCUUGGGCUCGAGGCGACAAUCAGUCGCCGAACGUAGCCGCGGUCAAAGGCAUGAACUAAUUCUAUAGCUGUCCUUAAAUGAAAUAAUCGUAGCGGCACGUGACAGUAAACAUUCCAACGGUUUCUGUC